rnacentral:lncRNA from 1 species
CUUAAUUACAAACAAAUUAAUCACAAUCCACUUCAUUCGAGGAUAAAAACGAACACAAUUUACAACAAAUGAAAAGAGUUUCAAUUCGCUUAAUUCAAUUUGUCACAAUUUACAAAACACCCAGCCCUCUCCGUUGAUAGAUUUGAGGACUGAAGCGCCUUGGAAAGUCCUAUGGUGGGGUUUUCUAACAAUCACAAGCAGCCAAUGAGGAAUAAACCUGGUAUUCUGCCAGGACAAUGAGGAAUAAAACUGGUAUACAGCCAGGACAAUGAGCAAUAAAGCUGGUAUUCUGCCAGGACAAUGAGGAAUAAAACUGGUAUACAGCCAGGACAAUGAGGAAUAAAACUGGUAUUCAGCCAGGACAAUGAGGAAUAAAGCUGGUAUUCUGCCAGGACAAUGAGGAAUAAAGCCUGUAUACAGCCAGGACAAUGAGGAAUAAAGCUGGUAUUCAGCCAGGACAAUGAGGAAUAAAGCUGGUAUUCUGCCAGGACAAUGAAGAAUAAAGCUGGUAUUCUGCCAGGACAAUGAGGAAUAAAGCCUGUAUUCAGCCAGGACAAUGAGGAAUAAAACUGGUAUACAGCCAGGACAAUGAGGAAUAAAACAGGUAUUCAGCCAGGACAAUGAGGAAUAAAACUGGUAUUCAGCCAGGACAAUAAGGAAUAAAGCCUGUAUACAGCCAGGACAAUGAGGAAUAAAGCUGGUAUUCAGCCAGGACAAUGAGGACUAAAGCCUGUAUUCAGCCAGGACAAUGAGGAAUAAAGCUGGUAUUCUGCCAGGACAAUGAGGAAUAAAACUGGUAUUCAGCCAGGACAAUGAGGAAUAAAACUGGUAUUCAGCCAGGACAAUGAGGAAUAAAGCCUGUAUACAGCCAGGACAAUGAGGAAUAAAGCUGGUAUUCAGCCAGGACAAUGAGGACUAAAGCCUGUAUUCAGCCAGGACAAUAAGGAAUAAAACUGGUAUACAGCCAGGACAAUGAGGAAUAAAACAGGUAUUCAGCCAGGACAAUGAGGAAUAAAGCUGGUAAACAGCCAGGACAAUAAGGAAUAAAGCUGGUAUUCAGCCAGGACAAUGAGGAAUAAAACAGGUAUUCAGCCAGGACAAUGAGGAAUACAACUGGUAUUCAGCCAGGACAAUGAGGAAUAAAACUGGUAUACAGCCAGGACAAUGAGGAAUAAAACUGGUAUUCAGCCAGGACAAUGAGGAAGGCUUUUUAAAACCAUUACCAGCACAGCAGGAGAGAACGAGAGGUAGCUGAGGUAGUUAAGAGCUGGUUAAGGUAUCUAUUACUGCUCUGAAUAAACCCAGCAGACAGCAGGCAAAAUAUUCCAGAUUAAGGAUGCUUCCCAAAUCACAUCCUAUUCCUUAUAUAAUGCUCUAUGGGCCCUGGUCAAAAUAAGGGCACUAUAUAGGGACUAUGGUGUGAUUUGGGAGUAAGCCUGAGAUUGUCCUGAAAGUACUGAGACACUUUCCAAAAGAAAAAAGCCCACCUCUGAAGAUGGCACAGGAGCUCACAGCUGUUUAGAUUACCUCUGUGGGCCAGAAAGAUUAUUUCAUUGGUGAAGUAAACUUCAGAGGCAUGGAGAAUUGAUUUUACCACAGCAUCAUAGUGGCUAGAACACACACACAGACACACACACAGACACACACACACACACACACACACACACACACACACACACACACACACACACACACACACACACACACACACACACACACACACACACACACACACACACACACACACACACACGCACACACACAGACACACAUACACACACCUCCCCCAGCCACUUCUCUGUGUAUAGUGUAUUGUAUAGUCUGUGAUAUGUCAAAGAUGUGUUAGAAGAAUUGCAGCUCACCAAUGGUGAUUAAAUACUGCAGAGGAUUUGGCUCAUUGUUCUUCCUGGAACGUCAACGAUACCAAAGCAGUUUAUGCUGUACAUAUACUGUAGGACCAAUCCAGACAUUACUGCAGUUUGGAGAAAAUAUAUGGCAACACAUAGGCUAGGAGAAAGCUGAACUGUACCAGCUAGUUGAUUUGUAAAGCAUUAUAAGUCUCUAAUGCCAAAUUGCUUGCUGCUAGAAUAGACGCAGUACUCUGUGCUGAGCAGUAGCGGUGCGUGGGUAAAAUGACUGGAGAAGCC